rnacentral:rRNA from 1 species
AUGCUCUGUAGUCGAAAGGUCCGCCGCCGUAGGAUGGGUCUGCGGCCGAUUAGGUUGUUGUUGGGGUAACGGCCCAACAAGCCUGUAAUCGGUACGGGUUGUGGGAGCAAGAGCCCGGAGAUGGAUUCUGAGACACGAAUCCAGGCCCUACGGGGCGCAGCAGGCGCGAAAACUUUACAAUGCGGGAAACCGUGAUAAGGGAACUCCGAGUGCCCGUUAAAUCGGGCUGUCCAUCUGUUUAAAUAACAGGUGAAGAAAGGGCCGGGCAAGACCGGUGCCAGCCGCCGCGGUAAUACCGGCGGCUCGAGUGGUGGCCACUAUUACUGGGCUUAAAGCGUUCGUAGCUGGUCUGUUAAGUCUCUGGGGAAAUCUUCCGGCUUAACCGGAAGGCGUCUCAGGGAUACUGGCAGACUAGGGACCGGGAGAGGUGAGAGGUACUCCAGGGGUAGGAGUGAAAUCCUGUAAUCCUUGGGGGACCACCUGUGGCGAAGGCGUCUCACCAGAACGGCUCCGACAGUGAGGGACGAAAGCUGGGGGAGCAAACCGGAUUAGAUACCCGGGUAGUCCCAGCUGUAAACGAUGCGCGUUAGGUGUAUCGGUGACCACGAGUCACCGAGGUGCCGAAGAGAAAUCGUGA